AAUACGUCAGUGGCAGACGGGUGAGUAACCCGUGGGAACGUACCUUUUGGUUCGGAACAACACAGGGAAACUUGUGCUAAUACCGGAUAAGCCCUUACGGGGAAAGAUUUAUCGCCGAAAGAUCGGCCCGCGUCUGAUUAGCUUGUUGGUGAGGUAAUGGCUCACCAAGGCAACGAUCAGUAGCUGGUCUGAGAGGAUGAUCAGCCACAUUGGGACUGAGACACGGCCCAAACUCCUACGGGAGGCAGCAGUGGGGAAUAUUGGACAAUGGGCGAAAGCCUGAUCCAGCCAUGCCGCGUGAGUGAUGAAGGCCCUAGGGUUGUAAAGCUCUUUUGUGCGGGAAGAUAAUGACGGUACCGCAAGAAUAAGCCCCGGCUAACUUCGUGCCAGCAGCCGCGGUAAUACGAAGGGGGCUAGCGUUGCUCGGAAUCACUGGGCGUAAAGGGUGCGUAGGCGGGUUUCUAAGUCAGAGGUGAAAGCCUGGAGCUCAACUCCAGAACUGCCUUUGAUACUGGAAGUCUUGAGUUCGGGAGAGGUGAGUGGAACUGCGAGUGUAGAGGUGAAAUUCGUAGAUAUUCGCAAGAACACCAGUGGCGAAGGCGGCUCACUGGCCCGAUACU
rnacentral:rRNA from 1 species